rnacentral:rRNA from 1 species
CRGGGGUAAUUGCCCWAGUAACGGCGAGUGAAGCGGCAACAGCUCAAAUUUGAAAUCUGGCGCAAGCCCGAGUUGUAAUUUGUAGAGGAUGCUUCUGGCCAGCGGCCGUUCUAAGUUCCUUGGAACAGGACGUCAUAGAGGGUGAGAAUCCCGUAUGUGACCGGCGCGCAGCCUUUACGUAGCUCCUUCGACGAGUCGAGUUGUUUGGGAAUGCAGCUCUAAAUGGGAGGUAAAUUUCUUCUAAAGCUAAAUACCGGCCAGAGACCGAUAGCGCACAAGUAGAGUGAUCGAAAGAUGAAAAGCACUUUGGAAAGAGAGUUAAAAAGCACGUGAAAUUGUUGAAAGGGAAGCGCUUGCAACCAGACUUCGUAGCGAUGUUCCGCCGGUCUUCUGACCGGUCUACUCAUCGUCGCGAGGCCAACAUCGUCUGGGGCCGCCGGAUAAGACCUAAGGAAUGUAGCUUCCCUCGGGAAGUGUUAUAGCCUUUGGUGAUGCGGCGCGUCUCGGGCGAGGUCCGCGCUUCGGCAAGGAUGUUGGCGUAAUGGUUGUCAGCGGCCCGUCUUGAAACACGGACMCA